rnacentral:rRNA from 1 species
GAUGAACGCUAGCGGCAGGCCUAAUACAUGCAAGUCGAGGGGUAGAAGAGGCUUGCUUCUUUGAGACCGGCGCACGGGUGUGUAACGCGUAUGCAACCUACCUUCUUCUGGGGGAUAGCCCGGAGAAAUCCGGAUUAAUACCGCAUAAAAUCACAGGAUGGCAUUAUCCAAUGAUCAAACAUUUAUGGGAUGGAGAUGGGCAUGCGUGUCAUUAGCUGGUUGGCGGGGUAACGGCCCACCAAGGCGACGAUGACUAGGGGAUCUGAGAGGAUGGCCCCCCACACUGGUACUGAGACACGGACCAGACUCCUGCGGGAGGCAGCAGUAAGGAAUAUUGGUCAAUGGAGGCAACUCUGAACCAGCCAUGCCGCGUGCAGGAAGACUGCCCUAUGGGUUGUAAACUGCUUUUAUUCGGGAAUAAACCUUAUUACGUGUAAUAAGCUGAAUGUACCGAAGGAAUAAGGAUCGGCUAACUCCGUGCCAGCCGCCGCUGUAA